UGGGGAAUAUUGGACAAUGGGCGCAAGCCUGAUCCAGCAAUGCCGCGUGUGUGAAGAAGGCCUGUGGGUUGUAAAGCACUUUCGGGAGGGAGGAAGAUACCGUAAGGUAUUUGACGUUACCUCCAGAAGAAGCACCGGCUAACUCUGUGCCAGCAGCCGCGGUAAUACAGAGGGUGCGAGCGUUAAUCGGAAUGACUGGGCGUAAAGCGCGCGUAGGUGGUUAUACAAGUUGGGUGUGAAAUCCCUGGGCUCAACCUAGGAAUUGCAUUCAAAACUAUAUGACUUGAGUGGAGUAGAGGUAAGUGGAAUUUCCGGAGUAGCGGUGAAAUGCGUAGAUACCGGAAGGAACACCAGUGGCGAAGGCGACUUACUGGGCUCUAACUGACACUGAGGUGCGAAAGCGUGGGGAGCAAACA
rnacentral:rRNA from 1 species